AAUAAACAUCAGCGUGGUGGCAGUGCAGUUCAGUGUUCAGAAUAAUGAUUGAUUUGAUUACAGCACUUUGAGGGAGCUUCGAGCGUUAAAUGUGAUUAUACAAAUCGAUACGCGGACACAGCCAAAGUUCUGCAGCAGACCACUGAAUGGAACAGUAUCGAAGGUUGUCCGUCCAGAACCGCAUUUAGCAGCAGUAGUAGCAGUAACCAACCAACCAGCAUUGAUUGCUGCAAGCUUGGCCGAGCUGGAAUUUAGGAGUCGGAAUGGGUUUCCGAAUAACCCGUUCCGAGUGGAAGUGAAGGGUUUGCGUGAACAAGCGGAAUUUUAAUUAGAUUGCCGUUCCUCUUCUAUCCGAUUCGUACUCCUAUGGAAGAACAGACUUCAGGUCCAUUUGGUAUGAUUUUUGCUGCUCCUUCUGAAAAUCAACCAGUGCUAAAAACACCCUUAAGAUUCUAUAUGACCGACCACCGAGUACGGUACGGAACGGACUUCCAAACCAGAGCAAAUAUAGACUCCAAGGCAGGACAAGGUCGCUCAAAGCUGGAAGUCGGCGGGAAAGAAAACGGAUGAUAAUGUAUGCAUAAUCAUACCUCUUCGGAUGGGUGAACGGAAGCAGUGAGGCGUACCGAGCGGACUUGUUUUUUGCUGAUCUGCUGGUUUUGGCUGUCUGGCCAAAUUUGGGUCACCUAUCCAGUAGGCGGAUGGAUCACGGAAUGGUGGUAGGUCAAUGUUUUCAUUCUGUUCGUGUUGACACUAAUCUAUUGACUUUACCGGAACUUUGCAGUGAGUGAA